rnacentral:rRNA from 1 species
GACGAACGCUGGCGGCGUGCUUAACACAUGCCAGUCGAACGGAAAGGCCCUGCUUUUGUGGGGUGCUCGAGUGGCGAACGGGUGAGUAACACGUGAGUAACCUGCCCUUGACUUUGGGAUAACUUCAGGAAACUGGGGCUAAUACCGGAUAGGAGCUCCUGCUGCAUGGUGGGGGUUGGAAAGUUUCGGCGGUUGGGGAUGGACUCGCGGCUUAUCAGCUUGUUGGUGGGGUAGUGGCUUACCAAGGCUUUGACGGGUAGCCGGCCUGAGAGGGUGACCGGCCACAUUGGGACUGAGAUACAGCCCAGACUCCUACGGGAGGCAGCAGUGGGGAAUAUUGCACAAUGGGCGGAAGCCUGAUGCAGCAACGCCGCGUGCGGGAUGACGGCCUUCGGGUUGUAAACCGCUUUCGCCUGUGACGAAGCGUGAGUGACGGUAAUGGGUAAAGAAGCACCGGCUAACUACGUG